GACGAACGCUGGCGGCGUGCUUAACACAUGCAAGUCGAACGCUGAAGCUUGGUGCUUGCCCUGGGUGGAUGAGUGGCGAACGGGUGAGUAAUACGUGAGUAACCUGCCCUUGACUCUGGGAUAAGCCUGGGAAACUGGGUCUAAUACUGGAUAUGACAUGCCACUGCAUGGUGGUGUGUGGAAAGGGUUUUACUGGUUUUGGAUGGGCUCACGGCCUAUCAGCUUGUUGGUGGGGUAAUGGCCUACCAAGGCGACGACGGGUAGCCGGCCUGAGAGGGUGAACCGGCAACAUUGGAACUGGGACACGGCCCGGACUCCUACGGGAGGCAGCGGUGGGGAAUAUUGCACAAUGGCGGAAGCCUGAUGCAGCGACGCCGCGUGAGGGAUGACGGCCUUCGGGUUGUAAACCUCUUUCAGCACGGAAGAAGCGAGAGUGACGGUACGUGCAGAAGAAGCGCCGGCUAACUACGUG
rnacentral:rRNA from 1 species